UACGUAGGGGGCUAGCGUUGUUCGGAUUUAUUGGGCGUAAAGAGCGUGUAGGCGGCCAGGUAGGUCUGCUGUGAAAACUCGAGGCUCAACUUCGAGACGUCGGCGGAAACCAUCUGGCUAGAGUCCGGAAGAGGAGAGUGGAAUUCCUGGUGUAGCGGUGAAAUGCGCAGAUAUCAGGAAGAACACCCGUGGCGAAGGCGGCUCUCUGGGACGGUACUGACGCUGAGGCGCGAAAGCGUGGGGAGCGAACAGG
rnacentral:rRNA from 1 species